rnacentral:rRNA from 1 species
AGCCUCAGGAUAAAAGAUUUGAGGUUAGACCUGCCCAAUGUGAUUAUUAUGAAUGGCCGCGGUACUUUGACCGUGCUAAGGUAGCGCAAUCAAUUGGCUUUUAAUUGGAGCCAGGUAUGAAUGGAGUCACGGGGUUCAGCUGUCUCUUAGUUAUUAUAUUGAAGUUACUAUUUAGGUGAAAAAGCCUAAGAGUCAAAGGGGGACGAGAAGACCCUUAGAGUUUUUCUUAUAUUGAAUUUUUUUCAUAAUAGUUUUGUUGGGGCAACAAAGGAUCAGAUUAAUUUAACAUCCUUAAUAUUAUUUACCGAUUUUUAUAAAGUUGAAUAAACUACCUUAGGGAUAACAGCAUAAUUUUAUAAAUAAGUUUGUGACCUCGAUGUUGGACUAGGAAACUGAGGGGCUAGCCGCUCUUUAGGUGAGUUCUGUUCGAACUAUUAUUCCU